UACGGAGGGUGCAAACGUUGCUCGGAAUCAUUGGGCGUAAAGCGCACGUAGGUGGCUUGUUAAGUCGGGUGUGAAAUCCCUGGGCUCAACCCAGGAAGUGCACUCGAAACUGGCGAGCUUGAGUACUGAAGAGGGUCGCGGAAUUCCCGGUGUAGAGGUGAAAUUCGUAGAUAUCGGGAGGAACACCAGUGGCGAAGGCGGCGACCUGGGCAGAUACUGACACUGAGGUGCGAAAGCGCGGGGAGCAAACAGG
rnacentral:rRNA from 1 species